CUCCAACACAAAAAGAACAAGCCAAAAAUGAGACAUAAUAGGGUAGGAUAAAACAUUUGCCCUGAUUUUUUUUUUUUUUUAAGUGUUCGGUUUGUAUCUUAUAUUAUUAAUCCCUCUGCAAAUAGAACAGCCUACUAAUUCGUAAAAGCCAAGCAAAUUUUCAAAGCUGGGACUGGGAACUAAAACAGCUUAAAAUUGUGAGUGUAUGUAGAAAUGUGUAACAGUUGGCAUGCACGUACACAGUGUGCUCGCAGAAGAAAAAGCGAGUUAUGCCAAGUC